GUCCACGCCGUAAACGAUGUCAACUAGCCGUUGGGUCUUUAAAAAGACAUAGUGGCGCAGCUAACGCAAUAAGUUGACCGCCUGGGGAGUACGGCCGCAAGGUUAAAACUCAAAUGAAUUGACGGGGGCCCGCACAAGCGGUGGAGCAUGUGGUUUAAUUCGAUGCAACGCGAAGAACCUUACCUGGUCUUGACAUCCUCGGAACCCUUGAGAGAUCUAGGGGUGCCUUCGGGAGCCGAGAGACAGGUGCUGCAUGGCUGUCGU
rnacentral:rRNA from 1 species